CUAGAAAAGAAUUUGAAAAUGUAGGCUUUUCAUAUCUCAUUGGUUUCUAAGUAGCUGUGCACACGGGAGCUGCUGUCUUCAUUGGCCCUAUGAUUAACUGGCGCUCUCCACCACCUCUGUCAGCACAGAACAGCCCAGGCCUGAGCCCCACUGGUGGAGUAGAGUGUCCGCUAAGAGUUAUUGGAUUUUUUUCCCCAAAGCUUUUAGGCAAGUAGUUCUUAUUACUGUCAUUAUGUAAUUUCAUAAAAAUUACAUAAACGGAUGAAAAUUGAUUUCAGAAAGAAUCUACACUAAUAAAAGAGAAAGAUGCAAAUUGACCAUACCUUCAUGACACCCACCAGCCAAUCAGGAGUGAGUAUGCAAAUUAACCCAACAAAGAUGGCAGGUUAAUUUGCAUACGCAGGCACAGAGCGGCUGGGGGAGGGGCGGGACACGUAUGUCGUCGCCAUGGCGACAACACAGGCAUUCCAUUCCGCCCUACCCCAGCCGCUCAGGGCCUCUGGGCAGCAUAGGAAGGCGGAAAGGCGGCUCCAGGCCGAAGCGAAGGUGGUGCCAGCAGCCAGGAGAAGGAAGGCCCAUUCUUGCAUGAAUCUUCAUGCAUUGGGCCUCUAGUUCUAUUUUUAUAAAACCUAAGUUGAAUGCUGACACAGAAGUGUGGCUAAAAAACUUGCCAUUAAGUUUUGUGUGGGUGGGUAAGCUUUAUAAGAGAUUGGGAGGAAUUUAAAAAUCUGGGAAGCUUUUGCACUUAAAUUGCCUUGCUAGUUUUUUGCAUUCUUGCUUCACUUUAAAAAAAAACCAAAACUGGAAAUUAUGUAAAUUUCAGGCAUACAUUAAGGAUAUGAUUUAUAAAAGAAAGCUCUAGUUGGUGGGCUCAUAAGAUCUGUUCAGCUCUAUUUCAGAAGAUUGGCAAAUGAACACAUUUGUGUUCUUAAAUCAAAAUAAAGUAUCUAAAAUAUUUGUGUAUACACAGUCCACACAUUAUUCUGCCUUAUCCCUGAUUCACCCUGUUCAUUAUUGGUUCUGAAAUCCUGGAAUGAGAGGGCUUUUACUGUAUAUGGCUUAACUUGUGUUAUGUUGUACAGCCCCUGGCCAGAGGCCAGGGGAGAUCCCCUUUUCUUUAGCAGACCCUAAAGCAACUAGUUUCUGUUUGUGUUUAAAGAAGGUAGUAAUGUAAUCAAAACUCCAGUACACAGAAGUUAGUCAAAAGGGUUUUGUUAAUCCUCACCCGAGGACAUUUUUUCCAUUGCUUUUCAGAGAGAGUGGGAGGGAAGGAUGGAGAGAGGGGGAGAAAGAGAGAGGAGAGAGAAGGAGAGUAAUAUCUGUGUGAGAGAGACACAUUGAUUCGUUGCUUCCUGCGUGCUCCCUGACUGGGGCCGGGGAUCAAACCUGCAACCCAGCCCUGCCGGUGUUUCUCAGUGGUUGAGCGUCGACCUAUGAACUAGGAGGUCACAGUUCGAUUCCUGGUUAGGGCACAUGCCCAGGUUGUGGGUUCAGUCCCCAGUAGGGGACAUGCAAGGAGGCAGCCAAUCAAUGAUUCUCUCUCAUCAUUGAUGUUUCUGUCUGUCUCUCUCUCUCCCUUUCUCUCUGAAAUCAAUAAUAAAAACAAGCAAAAAAAAACACCCUGUAACCCAGGUAUGUGUCCUGGACCAGGCAUUGAACCUAUGACCCUUAGGUAUGCAGGCUUACAGUCUAACCACUGAGCAACACCAGCCAGAGCCAAAAAGGGCUUUUCAACAAAGUCUCUUCAGGCUAUUAAGUAAAUGAUUAGAUGUAACCUGGUUUCCCAGCUUUGGUCUGAUAAGGUUUCAUUUGAAGAAAUCCCCCUUCUUAGGAAUGGUGGACAAAGAAAUUUGUCCAUGGUCAAAUUCCAUGGGCAAGGCUGGAUCACUGCUCGUCAGGUGAUUGACAGUGAUAACAUCUAAUUAGAAUUUUUUUUCUGGGCAACAAGGCUUUAUCUGUUUUCCAAUAGAAAUACUCAUAGUCCUUGUUUUGCAUGGUUCUGAUAUCCAUGCACUUCAGUUACCCUGGUUUAGUUAAUACCACCAGUCCCUCAGUGACACUGAGUAUAUUAUUGAGAAUAAUUGCAUAAGGUGCUGCCAGCUCUUUAGUCCACAAGUCACUACAUAAUAACAGAUGCCCAUCAUGACCGGUGCCCAGCCACUUCUUUCAGUCUUGGUUAUCGGUCACUGUGCUUCUGUUACUCAUUUUCCAUAGACACAGCAAGGUGUGUGCCUUUGCUGCUCCCUUGUUCCUCAGUGAUAAACCCACAUGACACUUACAAAAUGGGUAAUUGAAAUAGG